rnacentral:rRNA from 1 species
AUGCCGCGUGUAUGAAGAAGGCCUUCGGGUUGUAAAGUACUUUCAGCAGUNAGGAAGGUGGUGUAGUUAAUAACUGCAUCAUUUGACGUUAGCUGCAGAAGAAGCACCGGCUAACUCCGUGCCAGCAGCCGCGGUAAUACGGAGGGUGCGAGCGUUAAUCGGAAUUACUGGGCGUAAAGCGCAUGCAGGUGGUUUGUUAAGUCAGAUGUGAAAGCCCGGGGCUCAACCUCGGAAUAGCAUUUGAAACUGGCAGACUAGAGUACUGUAGAGGGGGGUAGAAUUUCAGGUGUAGCGGUGAAAUGCGUAGAGAUCUGAAGGAAUACCGGUGGCGAAGGCGGCCCCCUGGACAGAUACUGACACUCAGAUGCGAAAGCGUGGGGAGCAAACAGGAUUAGAUACCCUGGUAGUCCACGCCGUAAACGAUGUCUACUUGGAGGUUGUGGCCUUGAGCCGUGGCUUUCGGAGCUAACGCGUUAAGUAGACCGCCUGGGGAGUACGGUCGCAAGAUUA